GUGCAUUCUUCAGAGGACUUCAGGUUUCCAAGAGCACUGCUGCACAUCCUUUGAAAGGCUUUCAGGAUCAUUGUUUAAAGGACUCUGACAUGUGAAAGUUCACGGUGCUCAGAGAUGAGAAGUGACCUGACCCCGCUGUGCUGCCAGAAGCCCGAGCUGAACCUGCAGCUGUCCCACAAAGCAGCUUUUGCACAUGCUGCACGAGGCAGGAGAGAGCAAAGCUGCCGCGCUGGCACAAAGCUUUGCUGCGCGACCCCUCUGGAACGGCUCCGUGCGCGCUGCCGGCGGGAAUGAUGGCUCAGCAGUGCCCAGCACACGCAGCUCUGGAUACCUGGAAAGGGAAGUGAAGGAGAGUCAGUUUAUGGUCCUAGUUUUGAAGGUAUGUCUCCCCAGCUAUCUGACAGUGCAAAUUAUGAAUUUCCACAAAAAUCAAGUUGUUGAUCUGAUCUUAUUCACAUAACAACCAGGGAAUUGCUUUUCAUCUCCCAGCAAAACGGUUUGGUUUUCAGUCAGAAUUAUAAUCUGCUUGUACUAGCAAAACUGCUUUAGUGAAAACACUUUGGUCUAUAACCUUACGUCCUCUUAUGUUCCCUGCCUGAGGCUCAGUACCUUGUCCUUGCCUAAAUGACAGCUGAUGGUCACCCACUGCCUACUUCAAACUUCAAAUACCUUUGUGGACAGCACCCUAGAAAUGCAGAGGUAGAUUAACUACAGAUCUCCAGGCACACCUACCACCUGUUUAAAUGCCUUUAAAGGAACUGAGGUAUGUCAGCUUUACCUCUAGCAAUUUCCUGGACCUCAGGCAGCUUCUGAGGCUUGGGCAAGCAUUAGGCAUUGCUGCCAGCAGCCUCAACUCUGUAGAAGGGGAAUUCUGAAUCUCAUAUAAAACCCUGAAAGUUGAGAAAUUACAAACAUGACCUAAAUUUAACAGAAAAUGUUCCCUCAUACUGGCAUAAGGUAAUAAAAUGUAAGAAAAAAAAAAGAACAUUCUAACUUUUAACUUCUGAUAUUUAAGAAAAACAACUCAUAUCAUUGACACUGGGAUUUUCUGUUUAGAUUAAAUGCUACCCAUUAAGACACUUUAUGACAGUUAAAGCACUUUUGAAAAUUUAUGUUCCCUUAUAUAAAAGCUUUCCCACUGGCAAUGGUGCAAACCAUUUGAGCAGGUUGGGCAGCAGCCAACACUGAGAUCAGAAAUGCUAAGUGCGGCUGAAAAGUUUCUUUCCCAAGAUGCUGAAGAGUCUGCCUGUGAGGAGAAUCUGCUCUCACCUCAAGGUCCCAGGCUGGAUGGAGCAAAAUGUAGUAGCACUGGCAAGCAGGAAAGCUGCUGGAGGUGGAAAGCUGCUGGUGUGUGGGAUUUAAAGCACUAAAUGCUAUGAGCUUCCUGGAGUGGAAAGAAACAGGCAAAAGUCAAUUUGAUGCUGGAGCUCCUGGAACAGGAGCAAGCCCAGGCUCCCAGGGCAUACCUAUCUCUGAGAACAUAACAUAAGCUGGUAUUGGAAAAAAAAAAAAAAGGACUGACUGUUGAAUUUUUUCCAAGGUGGAUGGCACCAAGGACUUAAAAUUUUACAAAUCCUCUUUUCCAGCCAUGUUAUCCAAUCUAUUUGUGCUAGAGCCCAUCUU